UUGCCAGCCGCCGCGGUAAUACGGAGGGUGCAAGCGUUAUCCGGAUUCAUUGGGUUUAAAGGGUGCGCAGGCGGAUAAUUAAGUCAGUGGUGAAAUCCCGGGGCUCAACCUCGGAACUGCCAUUGAUACUGAUAAUCUGGAAUACGGUUGAAGUGGGCGGAAUGUAGCAUGUAGCGGUGAAAUGCAUAGAGAUGCUACAGAACACCGAUCGCGAAGGCAGCUCACUAAGCCGAUAUUGACGCUCAGGCACGAAAGCGUGGGGAGCGAACAGGAUUAGAUACCCUGGUAGUCCACGCCGUAAACGAUGAUAACUCGUUGUUGGCGAUAUACAGUCAGCGACUAAACGAAAGCGAUAAGUUAUCCACCUGGGGAGUACGAUCGCAAGGUUGAAACUCAAAGGAAUUGACGG
rnacentral:rRNA from 1 species